rnacentral:rRNA from 1 species
UACAGAGGUGGCAAGCGUUGUUCGGAAUUACUGGGCGUAAAGGGCGCGUAGGUGGCCUUCUUAGUCAGACGUGAAAUCCCCGGGCUUAACUCGGGAACUGCGUCUGAUACUGGAAGGCUGGAGUUCGGGAGAGGAAUGUGGAAUUCCAGGUGUAGCGGUGAAAUGCGUAGAUAUCGGGAGGAACACCGGUGGCGAAGGCGGUUCUCUGGGCCUUACCUGACGCUGAGGAGCGAAAGCGUGGGGAGCGAACAGG